CUCCUCCAGGCCUCUUUCUUCUCUUCCACUGCCUGCCCACCCUCCUCACAUCUCUACCCCACUAUUCUAGUCCUAGCCUCUCCUCUUGCCUGAGCCUGCAAUGCCCUCCCACCAUCUCUCAGUGACAAACUCCUACUCAUCCCUCAAGACCCAGAGCAAUUUCAUGUACCAGCUUCUCACACUACUGGCCCACCCAUGCCUCCCUUCAAAAAAAAAAAAAAAAAAAAAAAAAAAAAACAACCAACCUUCCCUUUCUCCCAGGGUUUGUGCUGUUUGGACUCCCACCAACUACAGCUACUGGCCCAGAGGAGAUCUGCCAUGACCCAUGCUGCAGGAAUUGGCUUCCUGGCUAAGAUAGGCAGAGGAAAGAUUCUGCGUAUUUGAGAAAACACACACUGUUUGUCUCCUCGAGGCUGCUCUAUUUUCUCACCACAAUAAUCCCCGGGUCCAUCCAUUUCCCUGCAAAGAACAUGAUUUCACUGUCCUUGUGACUGAAUGAAACUCUACUGUGUAUAUGCCACCAUCACACACACACACAUACACAUAUAUAUGCAUACAUACAUAUAUACAUUAUAU
rnacentral:lncRNA from 1 species